ACAGAGGGGGCAAGCGUUGUUCGGAAUUACUGGGCGUAAAGGGCGCGUAGGCGGCCUGCUAAGUCGAACGUGAAAUCCCUGGGCUCAACCCAGGAACUGCGUCCGAUACUGGUUGGCUUGAAUCCGGGAGAGGGACGUGGAAUUCCAGGUGUAGCGGUGAAAUGCGUAGAUAUCGGGAGGAACACCAGUGGCGAAGGCGGCUUUCUGGGCAUCACCUGACGCUGAGGCGCGAAAGCGUGGGUAGCGAACCGGA
rnacentral:rRNA from 1 species